ACUUCGCGCAUCGAAUCAAGGGAAGCGUGCCGGUGCAGGCAAGAGACCACCGUAAGCGUCGUUGCGACCAAAUAAGCGCCGAUUCACAUCAGCGCGACUACGCUCUCGCUGCCUAAGCGACGGCUAGUCUGUCAGACCGGGAACGCCCUCGGCCCGGACCCUGGCAUCAGCUAGAGGGAUCCACCGAUGAGUCCGGUCGCGGGACUCCUCGGGACAACCACAGCGACUGGGAUCGUCAUCUCGGCUAGUUCGCGUGACCGGGAGAUCCGAGCAGAGGCAUAGCGAACUGCGCACGGAGAAGCCUUGAGGGAAUGCCGUA
rnacentral:tmRNA from 1 species